GGGAAGAGAACAUGAAGAAACAGGGAGAAGACAGCCAUCUCCAAGAAAGUGAGCUUGACUGGAGCAACCCUGGCACAGGCCUUGGCAUCAACUCAUUCACUCCAGAAACCACUUGGAAGACUUAGACAGGAGGCUUGCUUGCUUGAGUUCUUGAGUUGGAGGUUGGUGUAGAUAAAACAGUAAGAUUCAAUCUCAAAAACAAAUAAGUUAAAUAAACAGAAAGAGACGAGAAGGAAGAAGGAAAGGAGAAAACAGAAAGAAAGAAGGGAAAGGAAGCCAAGGAUGUUUCGUGGCCCAGUUGAUAGAGUGGAGCUCAAAUGGAAAACCCAACUUUCUCAAAGCUGAAAGCAACUGUGUUAUGCAGACAAUACAAAAAUUGUGAUUUUCACUUUAGUUUGUUUCAGACUUUGGUGUUAUGAACAAUAUAAGGCUUGAUGACUUAAAAAAAUGUAUUGAAACAGUUUUUAUAAGAGGUAUCCAGGUCCACUUGAAAUAUCUCCAUGGAGCUGGGGAAAUAACUCCCAGGUCCAUUGUUCGCCUAAGAUGGAAGAGGUCCUAUGUUCAAUCCUUGACACCAAAGUUUGAAUACGACACUGCGACAUUAUGAACUUUACAAGUGUGGGAACCUACUAAAAGUUAUACUCAACCCUGGAUGCCAUCCAAAGCACAACUGAAGACUCAGGUAUUUCUUAAUCUACAAACGAAAUGCUCCCUCCCCAGGGCCUCUGCG
rnacentral:lncRNA from 1 species